rnacentral:lncRNA from 1 species
UCGCAACUAUUCAGCUAAGCAUGAGAUAGCCCUUAACAAUAUGAGGAACCAUGAAUUUUCACUUUUUUAUUCUGUAGAGAAUGUAUGCUCAACCCUUUUAGUGAUGAAGAACUGCACAUGUCUAGAUAACUAUCGUGGUGCUCCUCCUCCACUAGUAGCCAUGGGAAUUUUGAGAUUAUAGUCAGGAAAUGAUGUUUUUAUCUGGCAACAGCACUUCCUUGGAGUACUUCAGAUAUUCAGGUGCCUAUCCAGAGAUCACAAAGGACCUAAAUAUGUUUGUUAACAGGAGACGUUGCUGGUGUCCAGGUAUGUCUUCAAGAGAUGAACAUGGAUGGGUCCUGAAAUGAUACAGGUCCAAGUCAAGACAUCAUAGUGAGUCUGUGAAAGGUAAUCAGGGAGUCUGUGAAAGAUGGGAUGUUGCCGGUAUCAAGGCAAGAGAUG